ACCUCCGUCCCAAGCUGAACUUCUUUCUUUGUGGAUCGGGCGAGGGGAGGGAUGGCUCGGGCAAGUAUAGCGUUGGCCUGCAGUAAACACACACAUCAGUACAAGAACGAAAGGUCAAAGUUAAGAGAAGCAAUCAGAUUGACAAAGGAAAUUACCUGGGUCUGAGCUCGAACAUAGGCCACCAAGAACUGGUCGGGAGAGUACCCUUUAAACCGGUCAUCGUCACCAGGUAGUUUGA
rnacentral:lncRNA from 1 species